rnacentral:lncRNA from 1 species
GCGGUCCGGCGCGCCGGAGCCGCCCGCGCGGACGCCGACAGAAGAGGCGAGGCGGGGAGCUCGAGCGGCGGCCACUGCCACGUCUUCCCGGCAGUGGCGGCGGCGGCGCAGGAGGAGGAAUAACCCGAGUCACCUUUCCUGGAAAUCAGUUUGCUGAAACUAUUGAAACAGCAGUUCUUGAAGAAAAGUGGCAGGGCUUUGGACUCCUCACUUGCAAAAUUGGAGUAAUCAUUUUAUCCGGGGCUCCUUCACUGGAAGGUACAGAGACCCACUGGAGCCAGCUCAAGUUCAAAGAGACGUCUAUCCUAAGAGUCAGAAACAGGCCAGCAUAACUCAACUCAGGAGUCUGUAUAGAGCUGGGCCUUGCCGGGGCUGUGCUGGAAAGGAGAUUCUGCACCCUGACCAGAGGAGCGUGACCCUUCCUUCAAAUCCCUCUCCGGACGCACCCUCCUAGCAUCCCCUAGGAAAGAUGCGGCAGCUCAAGGGGAAGCCCAAGAAGGAGACGUCCAAGGAUAAGAAGGAGCGAAAGCAGGCCAUGCAGGAGGCCCGGCAGCAGAUCACCACGGUGGUACUGCCCACGCUGGCUGUGGUCGUGCUGCUGAUCGUGGUGUUCGUGUACGUGGCCACGCGCCCCGCCAUCACCGAGUGAGGGACCUCCCCCCCAGAGCGGAGGCGCGGGAGGGGAGAGCAGAAGAAGAAUGGCUUUCAUCUGCAGAGAUUUUCCUGAUGCUGAGCUCUGAGCCAGAGGACCCUGUCUUCUCUGGUCUGUGACUUGAUUAAAGUUUCUCCACUUCUCUUGGGAGGGAAUAGGGAACGCUUUAUCAGUGAAUGUGCCACACACCUUAUGGUCCACUUCAUGUGCCUUUCAGACUUCAAAGCCGUGUGUGUGUGUGUGUGUGUGUGUGUGUGUGUGUGUGUGUGUGUGCGUGUGCGCUUCUCGCCUACAAUCGAUAUGUAGCUCCACCUGGUGAGAGGAGGAAUCUCUGGGUCAUGGAUCAGUUGGAAUCAGUGCUCACCCCAUCCCCUUUGCUUUGAACAUGACUCUUUGCUACACGUGUUCAUGAUUUCCAAAGGGACUGUAUUUCUUCUCUGUGCUUCAUGUGAUUUGAAAUAUGUCGACUCAAAAGUGAAAUAUUUAUUUUUUGAAUAAAGGAGAUAAUAGCCUU